UAGAUACCCUAGUAUUUAAAAUAUAUGAAAUUAGUAAAGUUGAAAUUUAAUAAUUUUGGCGGUUAGUUUUUAAUUAGAGGAGCUUGUUAUUAACAGAAGGAGCUCUUUAAAUCUUACAGGUAAGAAAGGUUUAUUCAUCUCCGUUAUAAGAUAAUAUUUCAAUAAAAGAUUAUAAGGUAUUAUUUCAGGUCAAGAUGUAGCUUCUCCCUGCAAAAAUUAGCUACAAUAUAGAAUUUAUGGAUAUUCUAAGAAAAUAUAUUAGGUUGAAAUUGAAUUUAAUUGUAAUAUAAAUUAGAAUAUUUAAGUGAAAUAUAUAAGCUAAUGUACAUAUUGCCCGUCACUUCUUAAUUAACUGAAUAAGUCGUAACAAA
rnacentral:rRNA from 1 species